CGGUGAAGCCCAGCUUGCUGGGUGGAUCAGUGGCGAACGGGUGAGUAACACGUGAGCAACCUGCCCUCCACUUCGGGAUAAGCCUUGGAAACGGGGUCUAAUACCGGAUAUGAGCGCGCACCGCAUGGUGUGUGUUGGAAAGUUUUUCGGUGGGGGAUGGGCUCGCGGCCUAUCAGCUUGUUGGUGGGGUGAUGGCCUACCAAGGCGUCGACGGGUAGCCGGCCUGAGAGGGCGACCGGCCACACUGGGACUGAGACACGGCCCAGACUCCUACGGGAGGCAGCAGUGGGGAAUAUUGCACAAUGGGCGAAAGCCUGAUGCAGCGACGCCGCGUGAGGGAUGACGGCCUUCGGGUUGUAAACCUCUUUCAGCAGGGAAGAAGGCCUUCGGGUGGACGGUACCUGCAGAAGAAGCGCCGGCUAACUACGUGCCAGCAGCCGCGGUAAUACGUAGGGCGCAAGCGUUGUCCGGAAUUAUUGGGCGUAAAGAGCUCGUAGGCGGUCUGUCGCGUCUGGUGUGAAAACCUCAGGCUCAACCUGGGGCGUGCAUCGGGUACGGGCAGACUAGAGUGCGGUAGGGGAGACUGGAAUUCCUGGUGUAGCGGUGGAAUGCGCAGAUAUCAGGAGGAACACCGAUGGCGAAGGCAGGUCUCUGGGCCGCAACUGACGCUGAGGAGCGAAAGCAUGGGGAGCGAACAGGAUUAGAUACCCUGGUAGUCCAUGCCGUAAACGUUGGGCACUAGGUGUGGGGGCUCAUUCCACGAGUUCCGUGCCGCAGCUAACGCAUUAAGUGCCCCGCCUGGGGAGUACGGCCGCAAGGCUAAAACUCAAAGGAAUUGACGGGGGCCCGCACAAGCGGCGGAGCAUGCGGAUUAAUUCGAUGCAACGCGAAGAA
rnacentral:rRNA from 1 species